GUUCCUGCUCUGAUACCAUGUUGAGUUUUGGUUUCAAUAUUUGUUGUAUAUUUCAUUAUGAAGAUUACAAGAGAGUGAAGACAACUCUUAUAGAGAGCCAAAAGAAAGCUACAAUAGAUUGUAGGAUAACUACAUAAACACAAUCCCUAAAAUCUGCCAUAACAAGUGGAAAAGCAAAAACUAAAUUACAAGUAAAGAAGCUUUUACAAGCAACUAAGAAAGGUUGAUGUAAGGUGAAUGACAA
rnacentral:lncRNA from 1 species